rnacentral:rRNA from 1 species
AUUGAACGCUGGCGGUAUGCCUUACACAUGCAAGUCGAACGGUAGAGGGGCAACCCUUGAGAGUGGCGAACGGGUGAGUAAUACAUCGGAACGUGCCCAGUCGUGGGGGAUAACGUAGCGAAAGCUACGCUAAUACCGCAUACGACCUGAGGGUGAAAGCGGGGGAUCGCAAGACCUCGCGCGAUUGGAGCGGCCGAUGGCAGAUUAGGUAGUUGGUGGGGUAAAGGCCUACCAAGCCUGCGAUCUGUAGCUGGUCUGAGAGGACGACCAGCCACACUGGGACUGAGACACGGCCCAGACUCCUACGGGAGGCAGCAGUGGGGAAUUUUGGACAAUGGGCGAAAGCCUGAUCCAGCCAUACCGCGUGCGGGAAGAAGGCCUUCGGGUUGUAAACCGCUUUUGUCAGGGAAGAAAUCUUCUGGGCUAAUACCUCGGGAGGAUGACGGUACCUGAAGAAUAAGCACCGGCUAACUACGUGCCAGCAGCCGCGGUAAUACGUAGGGUGCAAGCGUUAAUCGGAAUUACUGGGCGUAAAGCGUGCGCAGGCGGUUCCAUAAGACAGAUGUGAAAUCCCCGGGCUCAACCUGGGAACUGCAUUUGUGACUGUGGAGCUAGAGUACGGUAGAGGGGGAUGGAAUUCCGCGUGUAGCAGUGAAAUGCGUAGAUAUGCGGAGGAACACCAAUGGCGAAGGCAAUCCCCUGGACCUGUACUGACGCUCAUGCACGAAAGCGUGGGGAGCNAACAGGAUUAGAUACCCUGGUAGUCCACGCCCUANUCGAUGUCAACUGGUUGUUGGGAGGGUUUCUUCUCAGUAUCGAAGCUAACGCGUGNAGUUGGCCGCCUGGGGAGUNCGUCCGCAAGGUUNAAACUCAAAGGAAUUGACGGGGACCCGCACAAGCGGUGNAUGAUGUGGUUUAAUUCNAUGCAACGCGAAAAACCUUACCUACCCUUGACAUGGCAGGAAUCCCGCAGAGAUGUGGGAGUGCUCGAAAGAGAACCUGCACACAGGUGCUGCAUGGCCGUCGUCAGCUC